GGAUAAAGAUAAAAUUAAUUUCUACAUUAAAAACACACUAUAGAAGAUCAAUUCACAUUCUCAUUUCUACGUUGGAUUGGAAGCAAAUUAAAAGAACAAGGACCCAUCGUUCUGAAUAUUGUUUUAGAAAGUGACAUCAUGUUGCAAUAAUGCAUUGCGGACAAAGAAAAUGUUGUCUGCAUUUGAUGGAGAUACAGAAAUGCAGAGUGAAUGUACAAUAUACACAAGAAUCAAGUGUUAAUAAAAAAAAGCCAUAAUCAAAUACUCGAGAGCCAACAGAAAUGGCAGCUACACUGUUCCCUUUCAGAUCAGAUGAAUAUCCACAGUCCAAAAGACUAACUACGCCCAGUACACUCUCCUCGGGGCCUUUUAUGGUUCAAUGUGAACAUCUCGUAUUCUCAGGCCUGAAGUGCCCUGACCUUGUAGAAGCCAUGAGGGGCAUGAAUAUGAUUAUUUUCCAAGGUCGGAGGAGUCCAAACCAGCGGGCAUAGAUUUAAGGAUGAAGGUGUCCCAGGCUAGAUAAGCAUCUAUUACCCAUCC